rnacentral:rRNA from 1 species
AACGAACGCUGGCGGCAUGCCUAACACAUGCAAGUCGAACGAGACCUUCGGGUCUAGUGGCGCACGGGUGCGUAACGCGUGUGAACCUGCCCUUAGGUUCGGAAUAACUCCCCGAAAGGGGUGCUAAUACCGGAUAAUGUCUUCGGACCAAGGAUUUAUCGCCUUUGGAUGGGCCCGCGUUGGAUUAGCUAGUUGGUAGGGUAAAAGCCUACCAAGGCGACGAUCCAUAGCUGGUCUGAGAGGAUGAUCAGCCACACUGGGACUGAGACACGGCCCAGACUCCUACGGGAGGCAGCAGUGGGGAAUAUUGGACAAUGGGCGAAAGCCUGAUCCAGCAAUGCCGCGUGAGUGAUGAAGGCCUUAGGGUUGUAAAGCUCUUUUACCCGGGAUGAUAAUGACAGUACCGGGAGAAUAAGCUCCGGCUAACUCCGUG